rnacentral:rRNA from 1 species
GAUUAAGCCAUGCAUGUCUAAGUAUAAAGCAAUUAUACAGCGAAACUGCGAAUGGCUCAUUAAAUCAUUUAUCGUUUAUUUGAUAGUACCUUACUACAUGGAUAACCGUGGUAAUUCUAGAGCUAAUACAUGCUGAAAACCCCGACUUCGGAAGGGGUGUAUUUAUUAGAUUAAAAACCAAUGCCCUUCGGGGCUCACUGGUGAUUCAUGAUAACUUCUCGAAUCGCACGGCCUUGCGCCGGCGAUGGUUCAUUCAAAUUUCUGCCCUAUCAACUUUCGACGGCUGGGUCUUGGCCAGCCGUGGUGACAACGGGUAACGGAGGGUUAGGGCUCGACCCCGGAGAAAACGCCUGAGAAACGGCGUUUACAUCCAAGGAAGGCAGCAGGCGCGCAAAUUACCCAAUGCCGACACGGCGAGGUAGUGACGAGAAAUACUGAUACAGGGCUCUUUUGGGUCUUGUAAUUGGAAUGAGUACAAUUUAAAUCUCUUAACGAGGAACAAUUGGAGGGCAAGUCUGGUGCCAGCAGCCGCGGUAAUUCCAGCUCCAAUAGCGUAUAUUAAAGUUGUUGCAGUUAAAAAGCUCGUAGUUGAACCUUGGGCCUGGCUGGCCGGUCCGCCUCACCGCGUGCACUGGUCCGGCCGGGCCUUUCCCUCUGGGGAGCCCCAUGCCCUUCACUGGGCGUGGCGGGGAACCAGGACUUUUUACUUGUGAAAAAAAUUAAGAGUGUUCAAAAGCAGGCCUAUGCUCGAAUUACAUUUAGCAUGGAAUAAUAGAAUAGGACGUGUUGGUUCUAUUUUGGUUGGGUUUCUAGGAACCGCCCGUAAAUGAUUAAUUAGGGACAGUCGGGGGGGCGGUCAGUUAUUUCCAUUUGUUCAGAG